UACAGAGGGUGCUAGCGUUGUUCGGAAUCAUUGGGCGUAAAGGGCGUGUAGGCGGUUUGUUAAGUCAUGUGUGAAAUCCCUCGGCUCGACCGGGGAACGACGCAUGAAACUGGCAAGCUAGAGUACCAAAGAGGGGGGUGGAAUUCCCGGUGUAGCGGUGAAAUGCGUAGAUAUCAGGAGGAACACCUGUGGCGAAAGCGGCUCACUGGACCACAACUGACGCUGAUGCACGAAAGCUAGGGGAGCAAACAGG
rnacentral:rRNA from 1 species